AGCUUACCUCUUUCCUGGUCUGAACAUUGGUUUCUACAUCUAUAAGAUGGGGUCUUCCAUGUUCUCCAAACACCUGGCAAAGGCUCUUUGGGAUUGCUUUCGAACCUGAGGAGAGAGGAGUGGAGGAGUUCCAGUGGGUUGCCAAGUAGGAAAGGCAGAUAAAACCUGUGAAGGAGGCACCGACAACCACAUGUCUCAUCUAGAGCCCGGAUGACUCUCGGUCUGCUAACCCAACAGACAGAUGACAUGUUGGUGCCCUCCCCAAGGCUCUCUGAAAAUGACUCUUAACCAGACAGCAGCAAUCUGUCAUCGCCGUGCUGCCAUUCUCAGCCAAAAGUAAGAAUUGGUAAGAAGCAAAACCAUUCUGCAGCCAGAAUUCUAAUCCCAGGCUAAGCAGGUGCCCGUUGCCAAGGCGUGCAGGGCACAGAUUCUGACAAAUGAUGACACUGCCCCAGUUGUGGGAACAGAGCUCUUCACAGCCUGCUAGCUUCAACCUCGAGCAGUGGUAAGAAGCUUUCCAUCAAUGCCAGUCCCUCUGAUGAGAGCCCUAAAGCACAGCCCCGGUGGGCCAUUUCCUGCCAAACAGUAAAAGUGCAGAUCUACGUGAAAUGAACUGAAUUGUGUUCGUCAAAAUAUCAUCAGCCACUACGUGAUUCACUCCAUGUCCUCUGCUCCAAUAUGAGACUUUGAGGUUUUAACCAAAAAUUCUAAACUAGGAUUGAUCUUUCUUUUUUCCCAGAGAAACACUAGUGUGUACAUGCACACACUCACCCCUACCCUCAUUCACAUGCACCGCUUCCUGUUCCUCUUUCUCUCUCCUCUUCCUCUGAUGCUUCUUUCCACCUAUUUGCCUCUCUAUUUAUGCAUUCAACUCUUGCAUGCACUCUUUCUCUGUCUACUCUCCAUCCUCCUCUCUUCCCUACUUGUUUUCCUCGCUCCCUCCCUCUCUGUCUCUUGCCCCUUCUUUCUUCCCUCUGUCUUUCUCUGUGCAUUCUUCUCUCUCAGCAUUUCUGCUAACUCCCCUGGUGCCUAGAAUUUCACAGGGAGUUCAGCCCACUCUCCCGUUAUUUUAAGUGCUGGUUUGGCAAGGGUCGCAUCCCUGUGUCCCGAUGUCUCAGCUUAAAGAUUCUCACCAAUGCAUACUAGAUAACUAACAAAACAAAUACAGUGGGGGGGAAAAGUCAUGAAAACCAAAGUGCCUGAAACCUGACUCUUCUGGGUUCAUCAGAAUUGUUGAUGCCAUGAAUUCUUUUAGACUGACAUUUCGCAGCCACAGUGCGACCCGAUCUUGAUUAUGAUAAUGCAGAGCACCAUCAUGCUUCUAAAACGCAAAAGAUAAAAGGACCAGGGUUUUGCUGGGGCUUGGGGGUAUUUUAUUGCACUUUUACAUUCAGAAAUUCUGUAAUUUGGGUGAUUUUUAUUACCCAGGACCUGUACCCACGUAUCCAGAGUAUGAUUAAUGAGAGAAUUAGAUGAACCUAAACACACUUUUCCCUAAUUGUGCUACGUGGUAGAAAAGCACCAAGGAAAAGUCUGCACAAACUCUCUGUGGAGCAUAUUGGAAGAUAAUACAGAAGUAUGUGUAAAUGUCUCAGCAUGUCACAUUGGAUCCUGACCCAGCAGUGUGUGUAAAUGUCAACAGUCAUUGAAUAACUGUUGUAUCUAUCCUUGGGGCUCUGAUGGUAAAAGCUGUUUCUGACAAAUCCUGAUGGUGGUCAGCCCACCUGACCCAUGCCUUUUGGUUCCUUUUCUCUGACAGGAUCAUGUACUCCUGUCUGCUCUGUGCCCUGGCCUCAAUCUUACCAGUCAUCAGUCUCAGCCUGUGAGCUGUGUAUGUUUCCUGUCUCAGUUUCUCUAAUUGUAGAUGCUGCCUCAGUGACUCUGUCCCGCUGCACUUGGAAUGAGAACAUAUUUUGCACUUGUCCCAGUUAUGGUGAGUUAUGGAAUCAUAAAUCUGAAAGGACCUCAAAGUUGUCUGCUCCAGUCUUGCAUUUGACUAAUGAGUAGGGUGACCGGUUUGUCCGGGCAGCCUCAAUUUAUGCCUCUUGUCUUGAUUUAGUUAUUAAUAGCUCCCUCUCUUUCCUCUCGCAUGUGGCCUGAUAUGGACUGUAAAUUAUCCGAUCUCCCUACUAAUGAGAGAAACAAUGUAGCUGAACCCAAGACCUGCACCCAUGUAUCCAGAGUUUUAUUCUUUAAUAAUUGUUACAUUGUACUGCCUCUUUUGCUUUAAAGAUAUGUCUUUGGAGCAAUGCCUCCUAACAAAAAUCUCCAGAGAGUUGUUUCAAAAAACAAAUGCCUUGACUCUAAUAAUCAGGGUAAAAUGCCAACAUGUGGGUCUUAUGGCAAAGUUCCCAAAGCCACCCUGAUGCACACUCUGAUUGAGAGCUCCUGCUUAGAGAAAAGAGGUAAUUGGGAGAAAUUGCUAAAUCCCACAAACCAUGCAUGUAGCAAGAUGUGCUGCUUCAGGGCUAGCAGAUUUGGCCAAUCGCUGCUCCAACAUCUCAUCACGGAUGACUCCAUUUUGUUUUUUGACAUGCCAUGUGACUUUGAAAUAGGCUAAACAGGGAGCUAAAACCCUUAGAAGCGACUUCUUCUGUGGGUCCAACUCUUGAAGACUCUUAGGAAGACUUUCUUGACCCUCUAGAGGUUUCCUUCUGACUUUCAGCUUUCUGUUUCCCACACUCACGCCAUCAGAGGUCAGGGAACUGAAUGAGGACGAGUUUCCCUCAUUCGAUAACAGAUGAAGUUUCCAGCCUAACGGUGGCCUUGAGAUAAGCCAGAAAGCAAUGCUGACCAACCAGCAAUGUGACGCUGAGGACCAGAGAGGUUUAGUCAAAGGUAAGAGUGCUUCUGACAUUUUGCAAGGAAAAAAAAAAAAAAAGAAA